AGCCCUGCUCUACACCCAGUGCAGCCUGGCUCUGGGAGGCCCAGCUGAGAAAAGCCACCAUUCCAUCAGAAGAUGUGACAAAUGCCCAAAGACCCUUGGGUGCUCUCCUGGGGGUCUGACCUCAAUCAGGACAACAGAAGUGAAGGAGUCCUUCAGAUGAACUCCCUUGGAGGAAUGGAAUCUGACGUCACUAUUCCAGCUUAAUUUUACAACCCCCUCCAUCCCUCUGCCAUGGUCCUCCUUAAGUGUGGUCAACAUCCUUUCUCUAAGAAGUUUCUAAGGGCAGGGAUCUUAUGUUGCCACCUGAGAACCUCACUUCCUCGCUCCAGCAAGACCUUGUGGGAGGGGGCCUUAAUGAUGACAAGCACGGAAGACCAUCCAUGUGCAGGUACGUUCCAAUAGCCAGCCUUCCCAAGAGCCAUCACUCUGAGCUGAAAGUCCCCAUGGGUGGGGGAAGGGACUGCCCUCCAGAUGUUGUUGGAAAUCUAACACACCCCCUCCCCAGCUCCUUCUCCCACUUCCCGCUCCAUUUCCUCUAAAUAUUUACUGAUUUUUUAUUUACAUUCUUUGCCCGAGGUGCCCAGCCCCUGUCAGGUCCCAUUUGCUUGCCUGUCCCCUCCUGCCAGCUCCCCUCCACAUCCCUCACAGCUGGAGCCAGCAGUCCUGUGGGGCUGGCCACAACCCCCCCCCUCCCCAGUUCUGAGGGAAAAGGGGAGGAGAGACCAGUGAAUUGGUAGCUCUGGGCAGGGCUGGGGUGGGAGAGGCUCUGGGACAGGGGCAAUUCACAGGCAUGCUUGGCCUGCCCCAAUCUGGGAUCGCUUUAAUCACCCCCUUUGUUUCACGAGGACUUCUGGAUGGGGUUGAUGGAUGCCAGAUGCUGGGAGCACCCUUACCCUCCUUACCCUAGGAGGACUCCAGAAUGAAGGAGGGAGGAAGGGCGGAGGCUGAACCUCGACUGAACUGACAGCCAGGGAUCCAACUCUGUUCCUGGCAUAUGGGGCAGAAUUAGGGUUGUUGCCCUCGUGAAUUUGCUUCCUUCCAGCUGUGUAGGGAACCUGCUAGGAAAUCAAGUAUUCCUCUCCACUCCCAGCUCCCAGCCCUUUGACUGCAGUGGGGCAGGUACUGUCCGGGGUGCUGACGUGAUGUCUGCCAAUCAACGGAUGAUCUCUACUUACUUCUGAGGGAGUAAGUGAUGGAAUGAACGUUCUAGAAGGUGCUUCUGUGGUGAAAAGGCCACACAGGCAAGGGAAAUGGGUAGGGCUGGAGUAGCUAAAGUGUGACAUUACAUGACAGAAUCGGGGCUUCUCACAGCAGAGUCUCAGGGAGGCCAUGAGAGA